rnacentral:tRNA from 1 species
UUAUUAAUAGUUAAAAUAUAACACUAAAAUGCAAUUUUAGAAUUGACUCACAUAAUCUUGAUAAA